GCUUCUCCCAUUUAUGAAUCCAAGAUUUCUGUAAAGAACAAAUAAAAUUAAAUUUCAGCAGACAUAUAUUUCCUUGCAUGUUGUGCUGUACAGUAGCUACGGGAAUAAAUAUACGAAAAGGAAAAAGUGAGUGAUUUCUAUUAACAAGAGAUCGCCUAUGUAAUAGCUACAAACAAAUGAACCUGCUGCACCAACUCAUAUCAUGUCUUACAUUGAUAUUCUCCACGUGUUACACAUAUACACCAUCAACUAUUUGUCCUAAAGUAUUUGUCAAUGACUAAUUGGAUUCUUUAAACUUCUAGGGGAAAGAAAGAUGCCAUGGCCUUGCUCGCUGCUAACAUGAAUGGAUGAAAAGGACAUGCUUUGGAGUCUGGAGUACUUUGGAAUGAAUUUGAGAGUGUCACUUAUAGCACUGGAUGCCACCAUUUAUUUUCAGUAAUGUAACUGCAGUAAUGGAUAAUCUCACUAACCUCUGUAACUUUCUUUGACUGCCGAUUAUAAGGGUUGUCGUCAGUUUUAAACAUUUCCAUCUGAGAUGGGCUUAAGCCAUAGAGGAAUUGAGGAAUGUUUUUGUAACUAGAUGACCCGGUUGCGCCAUUGGCGCAAAAAGCGAGUUAGAAGCAAUGUUAGUGGUGAGUAAGUAAGAAAUGUAGAUGGAAAGAUAAUGCAGUGUGGACUGUAUUGCAGAUAGUAGAAUGACUUAAACUGAUUUACAAAUAGUAGAAUGACUUAAAUUGGUUUACAGAUAGUAGAAUGACUUAGGUCAGUUCAUAGAAAUACACUUAUAUAUAGGCUGCCUCACAGCUUAUUUAGGCAUCUUCUUAGUUUGACCGCGGUCUUAAGAUGAUAUGUACGAAAAAGCAGUGUCAUCAUCGGAUAAUGCUUGCAUGGUAGACUUCCACAGGUACUUGAAGGCCUAUAAAAGGUGUUGGUUCCACUGUCAGACCAUUUGGAGUAGCCCAUAUAGUUAUUAUCUCCGGAAUAUAUUUUCUUUCAUUGGUCCAUAUGACACACUUGUAGAACCAAAUAUCAGGGAAAUCACCAACAUGAUAGUUGUUGUUCUCUAGCAUGCAAAAUAAUGACUCAGGAUGUCUUCCAGAGGUGAGCCGUAGAACUCAGUUGGUAGCCCUGUAAUCCUUAUCUCAUCUCUUCGAGAGAGGAUAUGCGAUACUACACCAAUAGACACGAUGAGAGGAUAGCAAGCAACCCGCGGUAGACAGAAUAAAUGGUUUAGGAGGGGGAAACAGAAAUGAAAAGAGUGUGUAUAAUAUUCAUACUACACAAAGGAUAGGUUAACCAUGCCUGCAAUCACCAUGAAUAGAAUUAGCAACAACUAUCUAUCCGUUACUUGAAUGGAAUGCAGGUGAAUGCAUCUCCAAUAAGAGAAGAAUAGGUAGUGAGCACACAAGUUUGCACUUUACACAGGUAAGUAAUUGGAUCAGGUAAUCAGGUUUGCCAAUGAGGUUAGAACAAAAGUUUGGUAUCAAAAGUAAAUUGAUACAAUUGCAAAGGAAAGGUUUUGUAAGAAAGGUACCCUGUAAGCAAUUUCUUCUGGUCAACACAGAUGCAAAGCAAAGGUGUGAAAACAUCAGUUUAUCUUGGUUUUUAGGCCUAUUAUCAAACAACCUGUGAUUGUCACAAAAACAAUGAAGUAGGUAAAAUCUGGGAGUUAUUCAACUAAGUCUGACAAUACACGGUUUAUUUCCGGCGAAAAAAUACAUCCUCUGGUUUUUAGGAAGAUCCAACUUACAAACAACACCGAGCAUACAUUCAUAGCAAAUACAUAAUGACCAUGGGCAAUGGCAUAGAAUGCAGAACACAAUAGAUGGUUUAAUUUACAUGUGCCAUCGCCAUAGGAAAACUAAAUACACCUAUCACAGAUCCUUGAACCUAGAGCAGAGUAACAGUUUCAAGUAAAGAAAAGCGGGAACGAUUGUUAAGGAGCUAUUUCUAUCGAGGAUGUCAGCUGUAGUUUCCCAAAGCAUAGGAACAACAUAAAUUAGGGGAUUCACUAAGAGUAUUAUGUUAACAAUCUGGUAUCACAUACAUAGCCCAAGUAUAUACUCACAGGCAUGUUCCUUAGUAUAUAACUAAUAACAAGGAGGCAUUAUCGAUCAGUUAAACCAAAGUUAAUAGUGCAGCAUGUUGUCUAUAAAGUCAAGUGACCAUGCAGUUUUUUUUCAGGGAUAAAAGAUGGUGUGAUCUUUUCCAUGGUCUUUAGUUUUCAUCUUUCAGCCUAUGUAUAUGAAGUUUUGGUUGACCUGCACUUCAAUUGAUAGUUUGGUAAAGCCUUGUACUAAAGAUCAGAAAACACAUUGGUGGUUAGCAUGUACUGCUCCAAUAAACCUGGAUCACCAUCUGAAUGAAAAUGCACCUAAAGGAAGGUGUAUCACAAUUUCUAUCACGGGAAAUACACAGGUCGUCGUGAUACCGCUAUAAAAAGGCGAUCUUGGAGGCAUGCAGCUUGGUCCGGACACCCUCGUUAUUAGCAUAAUUGGCUAUCAAAUGGGCAUCCACUCAAAUUAUCUAAAGGGAGAUUAUUCUUUGUGGUGGUCCACAUGCUAUAAAUUUUCAAGUAAUGUUAUACAUGAAAUGGAGGUUAUAUGGUUAACUAUCAUAUCAGCAUCACUCAAAUUAUCUGAAGGUAAACUCAGUAUUUUUCAGGCUAAAGCACUGAAACGGAGGAGCUACCCCACUUUUCUUUCUUAUUAUAUACAGGUUAUACAUGAAAUAAAAUGAAGUAUACAUGGUGCGUAAAUGAUUACUGAAUUGCUCCUCCCUAUCCAGACGAAUUGAUUUCAACCGCCAAAUCACAGCAGAGAGGACGAACAGUGAAUAAAUUGGAUGGCAAGGAGUUGCAAUACCUGUGGAUGGGUUGGAGACAGCGAGGUCGCAGGCAAGGACACCCAUCCAAGCAUGUUUAUGUUUUUGUGAAACCUGGGAAGGAUGUGAAAACUGAGCUGCAAGUAAAACCAUAGCUUCCUUUUGUUUAGGUUCUGCUGAGAAGUCCCAUAGCAUGAUAUCUUCAGAACAGCAUGUGGUGUGCCAGUGGCAUCCAAAAAAAAAGAUUUGGAACAGAGAGAAUAGAAAUACACCAAAAGAGAACAUCAUCUUUGAAAUUUUUCUCACGCCUGGCCUAAUUGCAAAGAUAUUCUUAAAUGCCCAUAUAUUUAUUUAGCUAAUUACUAUAAGCAAGAUAAGCCGACCUCAUACAAAAAGCGGAAGACAUUGAGUAUGCUCCUAUACUCUGUCAAAAUUAAAUUAUACAAAUACUAUCAGUUCAAAAUGUAUUUUCAUUGCCAUCAUGUCACCAUACACAUCAAAGAGCCAAUAGAUUAGCUAACUGACACAAUCCAUAUAUUUAGCAUCAUGAUUUCCAAAAAAUCAAUUAAAAAUAACCUAUCACCUGAAACUCAAAAGCGAUAACCUCGAGCGAUGAUCCAAGUGUUGAGGCGUCACAAAAAACAGGGCCAUUUUUUAGCCUAAUUGGAGGCUGUAAAGGCCUAGUCAAAGUUUUGUUUUUGCCUGCAGGGGCAACUGUUCGCGUGGGGGCCUGGGGCGAAUCGUUCGGUCCAGCUCCUCCCCCAGAUCGACCAAAAACGUUCGGUGGGGUGAUCGCUCCCUGGCGAACGUUUCGUUCGUUCCGAGGAGAAAAAAAACCUGACGUUCCCAGGAAACCAUUUUCACACUUUGCAUAUCUCCGUGCGUAUACUAAACAUGCUAACGACAUCCACGCACUUGAGAAAGUAAAUAAUCAAACAACACUCACAUGACUUGCAGAGUCCUAUCAUUUCUGCUUUACCGCCCCAAAAAACAAUAUAGUUGUUCUGCAAGUAAUUACAUGACAUGAUGAUGGCUUUAUCAGAUAUCAUUUUUUGUGAUUAGUGGCCAUGUGCAUGCCUAAACCUGAUAUCAUGAUUCAUCUGCAAGACUGCAAAUUCUUCCUAGACACCUAAACUAAACCAACAAGUUAUGGUAGUAGUCCAUAGAAAUAAUUUAGAAAAAACAACAUAAAGGAGAGGAGAAGGCAGAUGGUAAGGCAUCGUUACUAAGAACAGGUUACAACCCAAAAGAUUCAUUUAUUCCAGAAAUAUAAGUAUGCAUCUCAUGAGAGGAAAAUAAACUCUCUUAAGGGAAGUAGAACAACUCAUAAUCCCAACCGAACAUGCACAAAACAGAGAUCAGCCACGUAAUUUUACUGCAUGAUAGGUUAUCAUUUUUACUUUUCUUGUUUAGCGAAGAGGGGUCGCAGGUUGCAAGUAAUAUAACUUCAUUUGUAUUUCCUUGGAAAACAGAGUCAGGUGCAACCUUUAUACACCACUGUCUAAUAUGAGUUAAUGGGGAAAGGAGUAAUGGAACCAAUGAGCAUAUAAAUUCUGAAAUCAUCCUCGACAACAUCAUGUGUGGAAAAUUUUACAAAGGAAAAGGGCAAUCUCUUCUUUUAUCAUACCAGGGGUACAUCAAAUAAUUUUCAUUUGCAGACAAUAGAAAAAGCCUUAACUCAGCUGAAAGAUGGGCAAUCCAGAAAUACUGAUGAACAUCAGCUCUAUUGACUCGUGUAGUCCAGGGAUCGCAAAAGUAGCUAAUUCAAUAUCCAGACUCUGAGUGUGCAAUUAACAAUUGUAGAGUUGGCAAGGACAUAAAUCCUAUAGUAAAGAUAUUGAUAUCAAAUAAAUAAAUGAACUGGGAAUGAAGAAAUCAGAGAAGGGGGACCUCACUGUCCAUGGCUAAGCAAAACAAACUUACAUGUAAAGAUGUGGCAUAGGUGUGCUUGUCUCACCGAGCGAGAUCCCUGUGGGUUGCACAUAAUGAUGCAAGAGUAGUCUGUCUCCAGGAAACUUCAAAGCUACAUGACCACACCAAAGUUGAAAUCAAAAUUAGUUAUGUACAACAGUACAAGAUGAUUCUAUCACUGGCAACCAAUUAUUCUAGGGUUUAAUUAGUUCUCAGCUUACUUAAUUAGUUUGGUCUGCCAAGCAUUUUGUUCCUACUACAGUCUUCAAGUAUAUCGUGUAACCAAGUUAUAUCCAUUGGUACUAAAGAAAGAACAACCUGUAUAAAUUAUGUGAGCAAAGUAGAAAAGAUAAAAAAUUAGUAAAAAGCAAUAAAUCAUAAUCGCCGUCUCAAUCAGCAAUAUAAACAGUUCUACCAUGAUUCUUCAAUGCAUUGCGAAGUGAGAUCCCAAUCCCAUUUUCAUCUCAAUCCUUCUCUAGAGCUAUUUUCCCCCAAAUCUUUUUUGGCCAACAGUCUGUAGGAACAUAGUGGAACUUCCCAAAUCUUCUUUGGCCAUCAGUCUGUGGGAUAAAAUGUAACUUCAAUGUAUAAGAGUAUGACAAAUAAAAUAAUAUUUGCACAGGCAAAGAUGAGAAUUUCUAGGAAAUUAAAGGGUCAAUUGUAUCAAGCCUGGGUGAAGUUUAAGAUGGAUAGGACGUUCCAUGUGAGGUCAGCUCUAUACAAAGCAUGAUCAUACAUUAUCCUAUCAAUUUGACUGACCUACAAAGAGGAAGCACAUAUUGUACACAGACCAAACAGUGGCUUGAGAAAUGAAACACCUUUGAUAUACAGCAUAGAGUCAGAGAUGAUGACUGAACUUACAUAUCUUUUGGAAGUGUUGAUUCAUCAGUAUUUGAAUACAGAAACAAUGAGCCACCAAUCUCAAGUCUCAACACUCAGAAUUUCGAGAGAAGAUAUGUGUGUUCAUUUGUGAUCAGUAAUCAUGAAGAUGUCCACGCACACACCUGGUUGAACAACAUUAGCAGCUUGUGAUAUGCCAAUCAGGAUACCUCACAAAAUAUUCUCACAAUGCGUCGAUCAGUAUUUAUGCAAACCAACAACCGCCACAUUAUUUUCUCACCUGCAACUUGGGAGCAGGCCGCCGCCGUCGACCACCGCUCCGCAUCUUGGCUGCAUUUAUGAAUCAAAUUCUUAGAACCCUUGGUAUACUGCUAUCUCGCAACAUCACCUGCAACUUGGGAGCAGGCUGCCGUCGUCCACCACCGCUCUGCAUCUUGGCUGCAUUUAUGAAUCGAAUUCUUAAUGUCCUUGGUAUAUUGAACACAAUUUCAUUCAAAGUGCAUAACAUGAUCUAUGAACACAAUUUUAUUCAAAGCAUAUGAACCAAAUUGACUACUGCUUCAACCAUUCAACCAAUUGCUGCCACCAUUUUCUAAAGUUAAUCUAGAAAAGUGGCUGCAUAGAGCUAGAUCCCAAAAUAAUCACAUGAAGAAAGAAAAACUACUUUUAUGCAGAAGAUGGUACAUCGUCUCUUCAUACCUCACCGUGGAACACCUCACCAACAAAUCCGGCUCNNNNNNNNNNNNNNNNNNNNNNNNNNNNNNNNNNNNNNNNNNNNNNNNNNNNNNNNNNNNNNNNNNNNNNNNNNNNNNNNNNNNNNNNNNNNNNNNNNNNNNNNNNNNNNNNNNNNNNNNNNNNNNNNNNNNNNNNNNNNNNNNNNNNNNNNNNNNNNNNNNNNNNNNNNNNNNNNNNNNNNNNNNNNNNNNNNNNNNNNNNNNNNNNNNNNNNNNNNNNNNNNNNNNNNNNNNNNNNNNNNNNNNNNNNNNNNNNNNNNNNNNNNNNNNNNNNNNNNNNNGAAGCUCACCUUGGUGAUGGCGGCAGAUGUGGUCGUCGUCGCUCGAUGCGCAGCUCCCAAAGCCAGGACACCGUUGGUCCAAGCCGCUGCCGUCCGCGUCCUUCCAGGCCGAUGACCCUCUCACGUCAGCCAACGCACCUCCAUCUCCUUUUUCCUCUCUCUUUCGCCCUCCUCUAUUUCCUUUCCUCUCUCCAUGGCGCUGCAUCAGAUCGAACGCCACCGCCAUCGCCCUUGGCGUGCAGGUCGCCGCCGCCGCCGCCGUCGGAACGAAUGCGGGCGAAGAAAGUGACGCGCGACGGCGACGAUUGAAGUGGGGGGAGGGGAGGAGGGGACGCAGGGCUAUAGCGACGGGCGAUGGCGGCGAGAGAAGGGGAGGGGAGGGAGAGGAGAGGAGGCAGGGCUCGAGGGGAUUGGUGGCUUGGUUUUACCGUGCGAACCCCACGCUCUAUGCGGAUCCCCUCUUUUCGCACGCAGCGUACACGCGAGACACACCGCAAAACUGGGCCCGUGAGAAAAGGAGGCCCACCAGUCAUUCACUUAUGCAGAAGAGCACAAUGUGCAGAUAAACGAGUGGCUGGAUUUUUUACAGCGCCGUAAAAACGAGCCAGCGAGGCAGAUCGAGCGUACAGGAAUCGUUCGAAACGGAGAUGGCGCUGGGAUGGCGGGUACUCUAGCAGCUUUUAUAUGUUCCAUUAUCCAUUACUGCAAGAAGGUUAAAAAUAAAGCUUGAAGCCACUAUGACCGGACCGUGAAACAUGUGAAUGGAAUUACAAAUCAUAAUAAUAAGUAUUUCGUCUAGGCAAAUUAAUGAAGUAUAGGAUCCUGAUUUCUCAACGAAUUUAAGCAUGUGAGAUUCAGAUCACAAACAUUUUGUUUCUCGAUGAAUUUAAGCAUGUGUUAGACACAAGCACAAUUUUUGCCAAUCAGUGAUGUGAAAAUAAAAACGAGGAGCAGAGCAUUUACCUGAGAAUCUGAAGACGCAGUCCCCUGUAUUCUCUUCCUCUCCUCCUUAGAAAUCAACGAUUCCACCGGAACAUAGACCUGCAACCAGUGGCCGAGCGUGACAAGCAACUAAGAAGGGGUCAUUUUUCAAAAUGAAUGCAAAAAAGGAUGUGCAACUCACAACAUGUUGUGCUGAUAGUUGUUCUUGUUCAACACUUUCUUUGCCUCUCUUUCAUUUGUAAAAGGACUGCAUGUUCUACUAUUUCAAAAAAAAUGUUACUUCUCUAAAUCAGGACAUGGCUGACUGCACAGUACUGUGACUGACCGCUUGACAGAUUUAACACCUUAAUCAAGUUACUUUAAUUUGUACAAACAGGUUAACCCCAUGGCAAUGGAAAUUUACAUGGCACGCAAACACAUGGUUGAAUGACUUAACAUCUGAUAAUCUUAAUCAAGUUCACAAGGCAAUCAAAAUCUGCACAUCAUCAGACAAGUCAGAACACUCGUCGGAAUACCACUUUAUCACUUGUCGGAACUGAACAUUGCUUGCUCCUUCGGCAGCAGCCAACAGUUUACCGUUUGUCUGUUCAUUGGCGCUCAUCGCAUUAUGCGCUGGCCCUGAGGGUAGCGCACAUCAUGAGAAGGGGCAUAAUGCACAUCACGAGAACUCUGCGCUCCUCCAGUUUUUACUAAAAUAUGUGCUCGUUAGACAGGCAAAAAAAGUGGCACAGAUAAUCAAAGU
rnacentral:lncRNA from 1 species